CAAUAUUUGCAUUUUCCCCAUCAGCGUACAUCCCAAACCUGUCAACGAGUGGCAGGGGGUGGCACUGCCUGUCACAUCUCUGCUUUUGGAAAAGAUCAGAACCCUGAUGGUGCAGCCAUACUGCAGUUUCCAUAGCAAAUCUCAGACAAGAUGUUCCCCAGGAGAGUUUUUUGAUAUCACCAUUUUUCAGUGGCAACACCAGGUCUGGUACAUUUGGCAGAAAAAGUAAUGAGGAGAUGAUCAGGAACAGAUAACAGAACACCCAAAGGAUGAAGCAAAAUGAGGAAAUUGCCUCCCAGGUGCUGUUUUGAUAUCCCACUUGUGAACAUCUCCUAGGUAAGGCCAUCCAAACUA
rnacentral:lncRNA from 1 species